GACGAACGCUGGCGGCGUGCCUAAUACAUGCAAGUUGAGCGCUGAAGGUUGGUACUUGUCCCAACUGGAUGAGCAGCGAACGGGUGAGUAACGCGUGGGGAAUCUGCCUUUGAGCGGGGGACAACAUUUGGAAACGAAUGCUAAUACCGCAUAAAAACUUUAAACACAAGUUUUAAGUUUGAAAGAUGCAAUUGCAUCACUCAAAGAUGAUCCCGCGUUGUAUUAGCUAGUUGGUGAGGUAAAGGCUCACCAAGGCGAUGAUACAUAGCCGACCUGAGAGGGUGAUCGGCCACAUUGGGACUGAGACACGGCCCAAACUCCUACGGGAGGCAGCAGGAGGGAAUCUUCGGCAAUGGACGAAAGUCUGACCGAGCAACGCCGCGGGAGUGAAGAAGGGUUUCGGAUCGUAAAACUCUGUUGGUAGAGAAGAACGUUGGUGAGAGUGGAAAGCUCAUCAAGUGACGGUAACUACCCAGAAAGGGACGGCUAACUACGUG
rnacentral:rRNA from 1 species